rnacentral:rRNA from 1 species
CGGCGGCCCGAGUGGUGGCCGCUAUUAUUGGGCCUAAAGCGUCCGUAGCCGGGCCCGUAAGUCCCUGGCGAAAUCCCACGGCUCAACCGUGGGGCUUGCUGGGGAUACUGCGGGCCUUGGGACCGGGAGAGGCCGGGGGUACCCCUGGGGUAGGGGUGAAAUCCUAUAAUCCCAGGGGGACCGCCAGUGGCGAAGGCGCCCGGCUGGAACGGGUCCGACGGUGAGGGACGAAGGCCAGGGGAGCGAACCGGAUUAGAUACCCGAGUAGUCC